GAUGAACGCUGGCGGCGUGCCUAAUACAUGCAAGUCGAGCGAACGGACGAGAAGCUUGCUUCUCUGAUGUUAGCGGCGGACGGGUGAGUAACACGUGGAUAACCUACCUAUAAGACUGGGAUAACUUCGGGAAACCGGAGCUAAUACCGGAUGAUAUUUUGAACCGCAUGGUUCAAAAGUGAAAGACGGUCUUGCUGUCACUUAUAGAUGUAUCCGCGCUGCAUUAGCUAGUUGGUAAGGUAACGGCUUACCAAGGCAACGAUGCAUAGCCGACCUGAGAGGGUGAUCGGCCACACUAGAACUGAGACACGGUCCAGACUCCUACGGGAGGCAGCAGUAGGGAAUCUUCCGCAAUGGGCGAAAGCCUGACGGAGCAACGCCGCGUGAGUGAUGAAGGUCUUCGGAUCGUAAAACUCUGUUAUUAGGGAAGAACAUAUGUGUAAGUAACUGUGCACAUCUUGACGGUACCUAAUCAGAAAGCCACGGCUAACUACGUG
rnacentral:rRNA from 1 species